rnacentral:rRNA from 1 species
GAGACAGCAGUAGCCGCGGGAAUACGUAGGGUGCAAGCGUUAUCCGGAAUUAUUGGGCGUAAAGAGCUCGUAGGCGGUUUGUCGCGUCUGCUGUGAAAACUAGAGGCUCAACCUCCAGCCUGCAGUGGGUACGGGCAGACUAGAGUGCGGUAGGGGAGAUUGGAAUUCCUGGUGUAGCGGUGGAAUGCGCAGAUAUCAGGAGGAACACCGAUGGCGAAGGCAGAUCUCUGGGCCGUAACUGACGCUGAGGAGCGAAAGCGUGGGGAGCGAACAGGAUUAGAUACCCGCGUAGUCCCUGUCUCUUAUAU